ACAUGGCAGCUGCUCUUUUGCCACGUGGCAAGCGCCAUAAAGAGCAGCUUUCUUUUAGUUUGAAGUAUAUAGUGUUGAGAUUCAGCUCAUGCUGAAUCUCUUUCCCCUGUGCCAGACUCCAGCUUGAGGUGAACCUCAGUGCACAAGUACACCACGCAGCAAACCAGGGUUCACACACCCUCCCACAGUCCCUCCUGACCAGACCCAGGCAUCAGAUUGUAAGGAGAGAGUACAGACCAGGUGCAAACAAAAUGUGAAAUACUUUCAGUGGGUGGAACUGCAGGCCACGGAGGAGAAGAUGAUCAUUGGAAGCCUGAAACAACUAGCAAGUUGGCAGAGUGAGAAACCUGGAUGGUAUAAAUCAGCAGGGAGGCCACAGGCUCCA